AUUGAACGCUGGCGGCAGGCUUAACACAUGCAAGUCGAGCGGGGUGAUGGUGCUUGCACUAUCACUUAGCGGCGGACGGGUGAGUAAUGCUUAGGAAUCUGCCUAUUAGUGGGGGACAACAUCUCGAAAGGGAUGCUAAUACCGCAUACGUCCUACGGGAGAAAGCAGGGGAUCACUUGUGACCUUGCGCUAAUAGAUGAGCCUAAGUCGGAUUAGCUAGUUGGUGGGGUAAAGGCCUACCAAGGCGACGAUCUGUAGCGGGUCUGAGAGGAUGAUCCGCCACACUGGGACGGGGAAACGGCCCAGACUCCUACGGGAGGCAGCAGUGGGGAAUAUUGGACAAUGGGGGGAACCCUGAUCCAGCCAUGCCGCGUGUGUGAAGAAGGCCUUAUGGUUGUAAAGCACUUUAAGCGAGGAGGAGGCUCUUUUGGUUAAUACCCAAGAUGAGUGGACGUUACUCGCAGAAUAAGCACCGGCUAACUCUGUGCCAGCCGCCGCCGUAA
rnacentral:rRNA from 1 species